rnacentral:rRNA from 1 species
GACGAACGCUGGCGGCGUGCUUAACACAUGCAAGUCGAACGGAAAGGCCCUGCUUUUGUGGGGUGCUCGAGUGGCGAACGGGUGAGUAACACGUGAGUAACCUGCCCUUGACUUUGGGAUAACUUCAGGAAACUGGGGCUAAUACCGGAUAGGAGCUCCUGCUGCAUGGUGGGGGUUGGAAAGUUUCGGCGGUUGGGGAUGGACUCGCGGCUUAUCAGCUUGUUGGUGGGGUAGUGGCUUACCAAGGCUUUGACGGGUAGCCGGCCUGAGAGGGUGACCGGCCAAAUUGGGACUGAGAUACGGCCCAGACUCCUACGGGAGGCAGAAGUGGGGAAUAUUGCACAAUGGGCGGAAGCCUGAUGCAGCAACGCCGCGUGCGGGAUGACGGCCUUCGGGUUGUAAACCGCUUUCGCCUGUGACGAAGCGUGAGUGACGGUAAUGGGUAAAGAAGCACCGGCUAACUACGUG